rnacentral:rRNA from 1 species
AGUCGUAACAAGGUCUCCGUAGGGGUACCUGCGGAGGGAUCAUUACACAAUAAACAUAUGAAGGCUGCACCGCCAACAGGCGGCAAGGCUGGAGUAUUUUAUUACCCUUGUCUUUUGCGCACUUGUUGUUUCCUGGGCGGGUUCGCCCGCCUCCAGGACCACAUGAUAAACCUUUUUUAUGCAGUUGCAAUCAGCGUCAGUACAACAAAUGUAAAUCAUUUACAACUUUCAACAACGGAUCUCUUGGUUCUGGCAUCGAUGAAGAACGCAGCGAAAUGCGAUACGUAGUGUGAAUUGCAGAAUUCAGUGAAUCAUCGAAUCUUUGAACGCACAUUGCGCCCUUUGGUAUUCCAAAGGGCAUGCCUGUUCGAGCGUCAUUUGUACCCUCAAGCUUUGCUUGGUGUUGGGCGUUUUUUGUCUUUGGUUUUGUCCAAAGACUCGCCUUAAAACGAUUGGCAGCCGGCCUACUGGUUUCGCAGCGCAGCACAUUUUUGCGCUUGCAAUCAGCAAAAGAGGACGGCACUCCAUCAAGACUCUAUAUCACUUUUGACCCUUCGUCAGGUAGGGAUACCCGCUGAACUUAAGCAUAUCAAUAGGCG